AAAACAUGUCUUUUUGAUAAUAAUUUAAAGUCUAAUCUGCCCACUGAUAAUAUAUUAAAGGGCUGCAGUAUAUUGACUGUACAAAGGUAGCAUAAUCAUUAGUCUUUUAAUUGAAGACUUGUAUGAAAGAUUUGAUGAAAUAUAAACUGUCUCUAAUUUAUGUUUAGAAAUUAAUUUUUUAGUUAAAAAGCUAAAAUAAUAUUAAAAGACGAGAAGACCCUAUAGAGUUUUAUAUUUUAUUUAAUUAAUAUUAAAUAUAUAAUUAAAUAUAUUAAUUAAAUAAAAUAUUGUGUUGGGGUGAUAGAAAAAUUUAAUAAACUUUUUUUAAAAUUAAACAUAAAUAAGUGAUUAGUUGAUCCAUUAAUAAUGAUUAAAAGAAAAAAUUACCUUAGGGAUAACAGCGUAAUAUUUUUUUUUAGUACAUAUAAAAAAAAAAGUUUGCGACCUCGAUGUUGGAUUAAGAUAAAAUUUAAAUGCAAAAGUUUAAAAUUUUGAUCUGUUCGAUCAUUAAAAUCUUACAUGAUCUGAG
rnacentral:rRNA from 1 species